GGAACAUACCCAGUCGUGGGGGAUAACGUAGCGAAAGUUACGCUAAUACCGCAUACGUCCUGAGGGAGAAAGCGGGGGAUCUUCGGACCUCGCGCGAUUGGAGUGGCCGAUGUCAGAUUAGCUAGUUGGUGGGGUAAAGGCCUACCAAGGCGACGAUCUGUAGCGGGUCUGAGAGGAUGAUCCGCCACACUGGGACUGAGGCACGGCCCAGACUCCUACGGGAGGCAGCAGUGGGGAAUUUUGGACAAUGGGCGCAAGCCUGAUCCAGCCAUGCCGCGUGCGGGAAGAAGGCCUUCGGGUUGUAAACCGCUUUCAGCCGGAAAGAAAUCGCUCUUCUUAAUACGGAGGGUGGAUGACGGUACCGGAAGAAGAAGCACCGGCUAACUACGUGCCAGCAGCCGCGGUAAUACGUAGGGUGCGAGCGUUAAUCGGAAUUACUGGGCGUAAAGCGUGCGCAGGCGGCUUUUUAAGCCAGACGCGAAAUCCCCGGGCUUAACCUGGGAACUGCGUUUGGAACUGGAAAGCUAGAGUGUGUCAGAGGGGGGUGGAAUUCCACGUGUAGCAGUGAAAUGCGUAGAGAUGUGGAGGAACACCGAUGGCGAAGGCAGCCCCCUGGGAUAACACUGACGCUCAUGCACGAAAGCGUGGGGAGCAAACAGGAUUAGAUACCCUGGUAGUCCACGCCCUAAACGAUGUCAACUGGCUGUUGGGAGAGAAAUCUUUCAGUAGCGAAGCUAACG
rnacentral:rRNA from 1 species